GACGAACGCUGGCGGCGUGCUUAACACAUGCAAGUCGAACGAAGAGCGAUGGAAGCUUGCUUCUAUCACUCUUAGUGGCGAACGGGUGAGUAACGCGUAAUCAACCUGCCCUUCAGAGGGGGACAACAGUUGGAAACGACUGCUAAUACCGCAUACGAUCUAACCUCGGCAUCGAGGAUAGAUGAAAGGUGGCCUCUACAUGUAAGCUAUCACUGAAGGAGGGGAUUGCGUCUGAUUAGCUAGUUGGAGGGGUAACGGCCCACCAAGGCGAUGAUCAGUAGCCGGUCUGAGAGGAUGAACGGCCACAUUGGGACUGAGACACGGCCCAGACUCCUACGGGAGGCAGCAGUGGGGAAUCUUCCGCAAUGGACGAAAGUCUGACGGAGCAACGCCGCGUGAGUGAUGACGGCCGUCGGGUUGUAAAGCUCUGUUAAUCGGGACGAAAGGCCUUCUUGCGAAUAGUUAGAAGGAUUGACGGUACCGGAAUAGAAAGCCACGGCUAACUACGUG
rnacentral:rRNA from 1 species